rnacentral:rRNA from 1 species
CACGUAGGCGGCCGUGUAAGUCAGAUGUGAAGGCCCCGGGCUUAACCUGGGAACUGCAUUUGAUACUGUACGGCUUGAGUCUGAUAGAGGGGGGUGGAAUUCCAGGUGUAGCGGUGAAAUGCGUAGAUAUCGGGAGGAACACCAGUGGCGAAGGCGGCCAACCGGCUUGGAACUGACACUCAGGGACGAAAGCGUGGGUAGCGAACC